rnacentral:lncRNA from 1 species
UAUUUUCCUCUCUCUCUAAUCUCUCUCUUAAAUCAAGGUCUGUUUUAUUUCAAGACAGUGAUUAAGAUUGGACAGGCUUCCAUGAAUCAGAACUUAAUGGUGGUUGCCACCAAGCUCUGUUCACUUCUUUUUGACCUAUAUCCAAGAAUCCCUUGUGAAGCGAGCCUUGAAGAUUGUCGUCUCCAAGUCCCAUUCGAAUCCUUUUAUUGGAGUCUUUGUGAAUCAAGC